rnacentral:rRNA from 1 species
UACGGAGGGUGCAAGCGUUAUCCGGAUUCACUGGGUUUAAAGGGUGCGUAGGUGGGCAGGUAAGUCAGUGGUGAAAUCUUUGGGCUUAACCCGAAAACUGCCAUUGAUACUAUUUGUCUUGAAUAUUGUGGAGGUCAGCGGAAUAUGUCAUGUAGCGGUGAAAUGCUUAGAUAUGACAUAGAACACCAAUUGCGAAGGCAGCUGGCUACACAUAUAUUGACACUGAUGCACGAAAGCGUGGGGAUCAAACAGGAGUUAGAAA